rnacentral:misc_RNA from 1 species
GAUGAAGAACGUAGCGAAAUGCGAUAAGUAAUGUGAAUUGCAGAAUUCAGUGAAUCAUCGAAUCUUUGAACGCACAUUGCGCCCGCCAGUAUUCUGGCGGGCAUGCCUGUUCGAGCGUCAUUUCAACCAUCAAGCCUUCGCUUGUGUUGGGGCCCCGCGGCUGCCGCGGCCCCCUAAAUCCAGUGGCGGGCUCGUCGUCGUACCGAGCGCAGUAGACAUCCUCGCUCCGGGAACCCGACGGGUGCCGGCCGUGAAACCCCCCCCAUCAAGGUUGACCUCGGAUCAGGUAGGAAUACCCGCUGAACUUAAGCAUAUCAAUAAGCGGAGGA